CCUACGGGUGGCAGCAGUGGGGGAUAUUGGACAAUGGGGGAAACCCUGAUCCAGCGAUGCCGCGUGAGGGAAGAAGGUUUUCGGAUUGUAAACCUCUGUGGAGGGGGACGAUAAUGACGGUACCCCUUUAGGAAGCCACGGCUAACUCCGUGCCAGCAGCCGCGGUAAUACGGAGGGUGCGAGCGUUAAUCGGAAUUACUGGGCGUAAAGCGCUCGUAGGCGGUAUGUCAAGUCAAGGGUGAAAUCCCCGCGCUCAACGUGGGAACUGCCUUUGAAACUGGCAAACUGGAGUGUGUGAGAGGAUAGUGGAAUUCCAGGUGUAGGAGUGAAAUCCGUAGAUAUCUGGAGGAACAUCAGUGGCGAAGGCGACUAUCUGGCACAUAACUGACGCUGAGGAGCGAAAGCGUGGGUAGCAAACAGGAUUAGAUACCCCUGUAGUC
rnacentral:rRNA from 1 species